rnacentral:rRNA from 1 species
GCCGCGGUAAUUCCAGCUCCAAUAGCGUAUACUAAAGUUGUUGCGGUUAAAAAGCUCGUAGUUGGAUCUUGGAGUGUGUUCAAGCGGGUCAGCUUCUGGCUGUGCGCUGCUUGACGUGUUCUUCUAUUUGGUUUUGGUGCGGUGCGCUUAACUGCGUGUCGCUCCCGGCCGAAACGUUUACCUUGAAAAAAUUAGAGUGUUCAAAGCAGACCUGUUUGAGUCUGAAUAUUCGUGCAUGGAAUAAUGAAAUAUGAAUUCGGUUCUAUUUUGUUGGUUUUCGGAACUCGAGUUAAUGAUCAAGAGGGACAGACGGGGGCAUUCGUACUCUGCCGUUAGAGGUGAAAUUCUUGGAUCGGCGGAAGACGCGCAACUGCGAAAGCAUUUGCCAAGAAUGUUUUCUUUAAUCAAGAACGAUAGUCGGAGGUUCGAAGACGAUCAGAUACCGUCCUAGUUUCGACUGUAAACUAUGCCAGCUAACGAUCAGACAGAGUUCUCUACGACUUGUCUGGCAGUUUCCGGGAAACCAAAGCGUUUGGGUUCCGGGGGAAGUAUGGUUGCAAAGCUGAAACUUAAAGGAAUUGACGGAAGGGCACCACCAGGAGUGGAGCCUGCGGCUUAAUUUGACUCAACACGGGGAAACUCACCCGGCCCGGACACAGUGAGGAUUGACAGAUUGAGAGUUCUUUCUUGAUUCUGUGGGUGGUGGUGCAUGGCCGUUCUUAGUUGGUGGAGCGAUUUGUCUGGUUAAUUCCGAUAACGAACGAGACUCUGGCAUGUUAAAUAGUCGCGGAAGUGCGUAUGCACUUGCCGAAUUGACUUCUUAGAGGGACUAGUGAUUUUAAUUCACACGAGAUUGAGCAAUAACAGGUCUGUGA